rnacentral:rRNA from 1 species
AACGAACGCUGGCGGCGUGCCUAACACAUGCAAGUCGUGCGAGAAAGUUCCUUCGGGAGCGAGUAAAGCGGCGCACGGGUGAGUAACACGUAGGUAACCUGCCCCCCAGUCUGGAACAACUAGAGGGAACUCUAGCUAAUGCCGGAUGAGACCACGAUCCCUUCGGGGGUUGCGGCCAAAGAUGGCCUCUACUUGUAAGCUAUCGCUGAGGGAUGGGCCUGCGGGCCAUUAGCUUGUUGGUGAGGUAACGGCUCACCAAGGCUGUGAUGGCUAGCUGGUCUGAGAGGAUGACCAGCCACACUGGGACUGAGACACGGCCCAGACUCCUACGGGAGGCAGCAGUGGGGAAUAUUGCGCAAUGGGCGAAAGCCUGACGCAACGACGCCGCGUGGGUGGAUGAAGGCCUCGGUCGUAAGUACCGUCGUCGCGACGGGAAGGGAAGUAAAGACGA